rnacentral:lncRNA from 1 species
CAUAUCCGAUAGAUCUGGUUCUCCCUCGUCCCCUAUUAUAUGGAUCUGAUUCCUUUUUGGACUCUCUGAUGGGUUUAUCAAAUGAGUCUCUCUAUAUUCUCUUUGAGAAAAUAACCUGCAAAAUAAGGGAAAAGGGGGUCAAGGGUCCACCGGGGAUGCCCCGGCGGAAACCCUCCGACGCUAAGUCAGAUUUACAAGUUAGAAUAGUGUGGAUAAGCAAGAGUUGCAGAGAGAAAAUAAGAAAAAUGGAGUUAAGGAAGAAGGAGCAGGAGAGAGAGCCCCCUCCUUGAAGGAAAAGACCCUUCAAUAUAUAGUGCUUCCUGUCCUUUUCACUCAGGCCCGUACGUACAGUUGUGUCAGGCACUUGCUCCAUGCGUAACGACCAUUUAAUGCUCUCCAAAGCGCAUGCGGGUAGGGCUGGUGAGUAAUUGGGCCUACUCCCUUAUGGGGCUUGUGCUCAUAUCUGAUCCGGAUCACCCUGGGUUGCCGGCUCAGGCUCGUGAAGUCGAGCCGCCUCUCUAACGUAUGAUCUGAUGGAUUUUGGAUCUGUGGCCUUCUUUUGAACCCAACCUUAUUCCUAUCAAGAAUAAUUCAGUUUUUUAUAUAAUUUUAAUGGUAGAAAUACACAAAAUUAAAUAAAAUAACUAUUUUAUUAAUAAAAACAUUUUAAUUAUUUUUUUAAAAUACAUGAAUUAAAUUAUAAAUAAUGAUAAUAUUCUGAAAUUAUUAAAUCUUCCAAUAAUUAAAUGUGUGGUAUAUGAAAUAAAACAGUGGAAUUAACGGUGAUUACUACAACAAGUGGAUGAAAAUAGAUAAUAAGGUCCUAAACUUUUCAACAUCAUUGGCACGUCUGCUCAAGGAUGUAUAUCCUGCAUGCAAUACAGGUCCUCAAAUAUAUUUAAUUGAAAAUAACGUAUUGAACACCAAAAUUAAAAUGAUAAUAUAUUCAAUACUUAAAAGUUAUAAAAACCAUACUAAUAAAUAGACAUAAAUUAAUAAUAUUGUUUAUAAUUUAUAGAAAAAUAAAAUAAAAUUGAUAGUACAUGAAUAAACUCUAAAUUUUAUUAAAUGUUUAUGAUUUUUUAUAAAUUAACAAAAUUAAUUAAAUAUGAUUUUAUUAUUUUAUAAAAAUUAAAAGUAUAAUUAGAAAAAUUUUGAUUACCAUUAAAAUAAGUUGAAUAUUUUUAAUGACAUCAAUAACCUUAUAUUUAAUAUUUUCGUUUAAAAUUAAAUUAAAAUAAAAAAAAACUAAAAGAAUAAUAAUAACAAUCCCUUUGAAACCAUAAUACAAAAUAAACCCCAAAUCCAGAAACAUUCCAUCGCAACCUAGCAAGAUCUUGAACUUCUAUGCCUAACUAAAUAAACCCAAAAACACAAAUUCAAAAUAUUUUUUUCAAGAAGAAGCAAUAUUCAUUACAAACAAAUAACUAUUUCGAAUUCAUUAAAUCUAUAAUACAAAACCCACAAAUUCAAAUCCUAAAUCAUAUUUCAACAUUGAAGAAUACUAUAAAUCAGAAAUAAAUCCAUAUUACCCUAUCAUCAAACAAAUAAACCCAUACGUCUCUGUUCCCUUUCGCGUUAACCCUUACAGUGACUCAACCUCGCGUAAAUCCAACUAUUACUUUUGCUCCUCGUGUGAACUCAAUCACUGUUUCAGCUCCUCGUGUCUGCUCUAGGUGCGUUUCCUCUUAGCUCGCGUGAACCCAGCGUCGCGUCGGCUCAGCCUCGUGUGCAGCUUUUCUCCACCUCCAUCGUUUUUGUGAAAUUGAUAGGACAGAAGUUAAUUUAGUUUAGGUUAAAUGUUGGCACCAAUCUUUUGUAAUUGUGACAUUUUGGAGCCUUUUUUUAGUCAAGGGUAAAGUUGUCAUUUUCUCUCGAAUUAAC